UGAAGAGGUCCACUACACUCC
rnacentral:siRNA from 1 species